CUCCAAUGAUGUCUGCUGAUUGCAGAUCCUCGUUAAAAUAAGGAGGUACCUGAUGAUGCGAGAUAUGAAGACAUUAAAGUGCCAAUAAAAACACAGUCCCAACACAUUUCAAUCCUAGGCUUAGCCUGAAGGAACUUCAGCGAUGUAUUUGUGGGUGCAAUUGAGCAUCUGAGAGACAAAUGAAGGGCAGUGAUUGGUGCAUAGUUUGAACCUUAUGGUAUAUGUCUGGUGGAGACGUGACGAGCGUGGGGCAAAAGGAAGUGACGCCCUGUUCAAGAAUCUUUUUGGCCACCACAGCCACGCCCCCUCUGAUGUCACUGCUGGCCUGGGAGAAGUCGAUGCCAUAUCCACCUAUGAGUGAGAAGAAGGGAGGAAUCAACACAGUGAUUUUUACACCAACUGGUGAAUGUAACAAUGGCAAUGUGUAGUUUACCAUUUAUCUGUACAUCUAUGAAUCCAGGCGCAAUGAUCUUAUUCUCGCAGUCAACUUUGUGAUCGGCGAACCCCUCCUCAUCGAAGAACAGCUUC